rnacentral:piRNA from 2 species
UCCCUCACCACGACCUCUCUACUAUUGAAC